rnacentral:rRNA from 1 species
CAGCCGCCGCGGGAAUACGUAGGUGGCAAGCGUUGUCCGGAAUUAUUGGGCGUAAAGGGCUCGCAGGCGGUUUCUUAAGUCUGAUGUGAAAGCCCCAGGCUCAACCGGGGAGGGUCAUUGGAAACUGGGAAACUUGAGUGCAGAAGAGGAGAGUGGAAUUCCACGUGUAGCGGUGAAAUGCGUAGAGAUGUGGAGGAACACCAGUGGCGAAGGCGACUCUCUGGUCUGUAACUGACGCUGAGGAGCGAAAGCGUGGGGAGCGAACAGGAUUAGAUACCCCAGUAGUCCCUGUCUCUUAUAC